rnacentral:misc_RNA from 1 species
UACGUAGGGGGCAAGCGUUGUCCGGAAUUAUUGGGCGUAAAGGGCGCGCAGGCGGCCGGUUCAGUCUGAUGUGAAAGACCGGGGCUCAACCCCGGGGUGGCAUUGGAAACUGACGGGCUUGAGUGCAGGAGAGGAGAGCGGAAUUCCACGUGUAGCGGUGAAAUGCGUAGAGAUGUGGAGGAACACCAGUGGCGAAGGCGGCUCUCUGGCCUGUAACUGACGCUGAGGCGCGAAAGCGUGGGGAGCGAACAGG